CCCUUAGAUGUUCUGGGCAGCACGCGCGCUACAAUGGUCUUCGCAAACGGAUGCAUUCUCGAAGGAGAAUGCCAAUCUUGGAAUCUAUGCCUUGGUCGGGACAGUUGCUUGCAAUUUUUCGACUCGAACCAGGAAUUCCUUGUAAUCGUGAUUCAUCACAUCACGAUGAAUACGUCCCUGCCCUUUGUACACACCGCCCGUCGCUCCUACCGAUUGAAUGGUCCGGUGAAGUGCUCGGAUCGUGGCGACGUGGGUGGUCUGCCGCUGACGACGCUGCGAGAAGUCCAUUGAACCUUAUCAUUUAGAGGAAGGAGAAGUCGUAACA
rnacentral:rRNA from 1 species